AUUCGCCAUUCAGGAAGUGCUGAGCAUCCUCUCCUGUCAGGGGUGCAAUGGGCCAGCCCUCAUGCCCACAUGCAGAUGAGACUGAUGGGUGCAGCGACAGAAAAGCACACAAGCCCCUCUGCUCACUGACCAAGCUGGAGUGGAAGACACAGGCGAGGCUCCCCAGAGGAAGUGGCACUGAGCUGAGACCUCAGAAGAUGAGGAGGCAAAAAAGGUGGGCGCUCCACCAGUGGCAGGGAUUAUGACUACAGCGUUCAUUGCCAAAAGAGGCUAGAGCUGGUACUCAGGACAGCUGCAAAGGGACUGCAGAGUCUCAAUCAAAAAAGGAACUCACCACCCUGGGCUCACCUGGCUGAGUACAAAGAAGGUACGGACGUUCCAGAAACAGGCCUGCUCUUGGAGGAAGGUUUUCAGGUAGAUGCUCUCAAAGGUCUUGAAGCAACCGACUAGAGUGACAAAAGUCUCGUCAUCCUCAUUGUCUGUGAUGCUCUGCAGGAUGGGCACCAUGGGGGCCAGGCCCGUGCCCGCAGCCAGCAUGAGGAGCUCACCAUACUGGGGAAUAGAAGGGUCCCCAGGGCUGAUGUAAUAUCCAUCUGUAAUGAAGACGACUGCAGAGCAGCAAAACAGGGCCCAGAAGAGGGCAGGAGCUUCCCAGAUGUCCUCGCGUGGUGAAACCAAGGCUUACUGAAAUUCCAGUGACCGCAUGUUAAGGUGUGAGACACCAUUUCUUUUUCCUCACCAUCAGGUCCUACAGCCUCCCCAGAUAAGAAAUCCAGUUGGACACAGUGGCUUAUGCCUAUAAUCCCAGCACUUUGGGAGGCUGAGUGGGGAGGAUCACUUGAGUCAAGGAGUUUGAGACCAGCCUGGCAACAUAGUGAAAUCCUGUG